rnacentral:rRNA from 1 species
CCUACGGGAGGCAGCAGUGGGGGAUAUUGCACAAUGGGGGAAACCCUGAUGCAGCGACGCCGCGUGAGUGAAGAAGGAGUUCGGGAUGGAAAGCUCUAUCAGCAGGGAAGAAAAUGACGGUACCUGAGUAAGAAGCCCCGGCUAACUACGUGCCAGCAGCCGCGGGAAUACGGAGGGGGCAAGCGUGAGCCGGAUUGACUGGGUGUAAAGGGAGCGUAGACGGCAGCACAAGUCGGGCGUGAAAUGCCGGGGCUUAACCCCGGAACGGCUUGGGAAACUGUGCAGCUAGAGUGCAGGAGAGGUAAGUGGCAUUCCUAGUGUCGCGGUGAAAUGCGUAGAUAUUAGGCGGAACACCAGUGGCGAAGGCGGCUUACUGGACUGUAACUGACGUUGAGGCUCGACAGCGUGGGGAGCAAACAGGAUUAGCUACCCCAGUAGUC